GGGCGGAUAGCUCAGUUGGGAGAGCACCUGCCUUACAAGCAGGGGGUCACAGGUUCGAGCCCUGUUCCGCCCACCA
rnacentral:tRNA from 1 species